AGUGAACGCUGGCGGUAGGCCUAACACAUGCCAGUCGAACGGCAGCACAGUAAGAGCUUGCUCUUACGGGUGGCGAGUGGCGGACGGGUGAGGAAUACAUCGGAAUCUACUUUUUCGUGGGGGAUAACGUAGGGAAACUUACGCUAAUACCGCAUACGACCUACGGGUGAAAGCAGGGGAUCUUCGGACCUUGCGCGAUUGAAUGAGCCGAUGUCGGAUUAGCUAGUUGGCGGGGUAAAGGCCCACCAAGGCGACGAUCCGUAGCUGGUCUGAGAGGAUGAUCAGCCACACUGGAACUGAGACACGGUCCAGACUCCUACGGGAGGCAGCAGUGGGGAAUAUUGGACAAUGGGCGCAAGCCUGAUCCAGCCAUACCGCGUGGGUGAAGAAGGCCUUCGGGUUGUAAAGCCCUUUUGUUGGGAAAGAAAAGCAGCAGGUUAAUACCCCGCUGUUCUGACAGUACCCAAAGAAUAAGCACCGGCUAACUUCGUG
rnacentral:rRNA from 1 species